rnacentral:tRNA from 1 species
AGGCUUAUAGCUUAGCGGGCAGAGCGUACGCUUGAUAAGCGUAAGGUCGGUAGUUCGAAUCUACCUGAGCCUA